UGGGUAAUGAAUCAUAAAAUUGACUGAAUUAUUUCUUCUUUUUUAGGGGAGAAGAAUACGUAAGUCUGUCUUUCUCACCUUGAGAACUUCAGCAUUGAGCCAUCAUUUUGUGCCACAGGAUAAUUUUGAAGCCAAUAAUAAGACUCUGCAUUACAGUUUGUGUGUUAGCAGCCAGCAAUUUCUGUGAGAAAUUACAAGUGCUUAAACAAAGCAAUAAUGAGUUCUUGUGACAAAAUUCACCAUCAUCAGCAAUGAACAAUAUAAAAACUGCCCUUGGAAAUAUGCACCUCACUUGACACACAACCUGAA
rnacentral:lncRNA from 1 species